AAAUAUACCAAAAAUCGAAGUAUAAAUUACAGAAAUUGUUGUGUCUGUGUGUUGUACUCAGUUUGGAGUGUCUUGGAUGUCUUGGUUGUUGGAUGGAUGGAUACGUUUACGUACAAACGUUUCGUCAGCCGGUUUGCUGUUGUUUAUCAUUCCAUAUACAUAUUUCACUUUAUUUUUGUUAAUAUAUAGAUUUAUCUUAAACAUAAAAUUGAAUAUUUAACGCAAUUAUUGCUUCAUUUUCAUUUUGUUAUUUUCACGUUUUUCACAAUCUGUUGGACUAACGCAAGCCUUUCAUUCUGUAUCAGUGUUUGGUUAAUGGUUCACAAACAUAGUCGCACAACCUUCAACAUUGAUCGAUAUAUGUAGAUAUAUGUAUAUUUAUAAAACUAAUAAUACUUAAAUAUUGCACAUCGAUUAGCAAAUUAAGAGAGAGAAUAGAAAUAAA